rnacentral:rRNA from 1 species
GUUUGAUCAUGGCUCAGGAUGAACGCUAGCGGCAGGCUUAACACAUGCAAGUCGAGGGGUAUAGUUCUUCGGAGCUAGAGACCGGCGCACGGGUGCGUAACGCGUAUGCAAUCUACCUUUUACAGAGGGAUAGCCCAGAGAAAUUUGGAUUAAUACCUCAUAGUAUGUGAGAAUCGCAUGGUUUUCACAUUAAAGUUCCAACGGUAAAAGAUGAGCAUGCGUCCCAUUAGUUAGUUGGUAAGGUAACGGCUUACCAAGACAAUGAUGGGUAGGGGUCCUGAGAGGGAGAUCCCCCACACUGGUACUGAGACACGGACCAGACUCCUACGGGAGGCAGCAGUGAGGAAUAUUGGACAAUGGGCGCAAGCCUGAUCCAGCCAUGCCGCGUGCAGGAAGACGGUCCUAUGGAUUGUAAACUGCUUUUAUACAGGAAGAAACAACUCUACGUGUAGAGUCUUGACGGUACUGUAGGAAUAAGGAUCGGCUAACUCCGUGCCAGCAGCCGCGGUAAUACGGAGGAUCCAAGCGUUAUCCGGAAUCAUUGGGUUUAAAGGGUCCGUAGGCGGUCUUAUAAGUCAGUGGUGAAAUCUCCUAGCUCAACUAGGAAACUGCCAUUGAUACUGUAAGACUUGAAUUUUUGUGAAGUAACUAGAAUAUGUAGUGUAGCGGUGAAAUGCUUAGAUAUUACAUGGAAUACCAAUUGCGAAGGCAGGUUACUAACAAACGAUUGACGCUGAUGGACGAAAGCGUGGGGAGCGAACAGGAUUAGAUACCCUGGUAGUCCACGCCGUAAACGAUGGAUACUAGCUGUUCGGAGCAAUCUGAGUGGCUAAGCGAAAGUGAUAAGUAUCCCACCUGGGGAGUACGCACGCAAGUGUGAAACUCAAAGGAAUUGACGGGGGCCCGCACAAGCGGUGGAGCAUGUGGUUUAAUUCGAUGAUACGCGAGGAACCUUACCAAGGCUUAAAUGUAGUUUGACCGAUUUGGAAACAGAUCUUUCGCAAGACAAAUUACAAGGUGCUGCAUGGUUGUCGUCAGCUCGUGCCGUGAGGUGUCAGGUUAAGUCCUAUAACGAGCGCAACCCCUGUUGUUAGUUGCCAUCAUUAAGUUGGGCACUCUGAAAGAACUGCCAGUGAUAAGCUGGAGGAAGGUGGGGAUGACGUCAAGUCCUCAUGGCCCUUACGUGUUGGGCUACACACGUGCUACAAUGGUAUCUACAACAGGAAGCAAGACUGCGAAGUUAAGCAAAUCCCUAAAAGAUACCUCAGUUCGGAUUGCACUCUGCAACUCGAGUGCAUGAAGCUGGAAUUACUAGUAAUCGUGGAUCAGCGUGCCACGGUGAAUGCGUUCCCGGGUCUUGUACACACCGCCCGUCACACCAUGGGAGUUGGUUCUACCUUAAGGCAAGGUUUCAAACCCUUGACCACGGUAUAGUCAGCGACUGGGGUGAAGUCAUAACAAGGUAACCGUA